rnacentral:lncRNA from 1 species
ACAAUAAUCCUUGCAAGAAUCGUGGCGUCUGUGAAAGAAGUGAAAAAGUCUCCUACUAUUGCCGGUGUCCGCCGAGCUACACAGGGCCAAGUUGUGAAGUUCAUUUCGAAAAGUACACUGCUGCACAGAGAAACAUUACUAUUGUUGGCGUUAUCCUUGGAGUGUUCAUUAUAAUUUGCCUCGGCAUUUCUGGCGCACUAAUUAGAAGGCUAAAAAAUAAAAGUGUGGGCAGUGAAGACCUUUAGCUUGAAGUUCAUAUGGAAACAACCUGAAGCAAGGAACAGAGUAACGUGAAGAACAUUUCUCCAGUUCAGCUGCGGCGCUAUUAUAGCCGAAGUUUGGAUGCAUUAUGAAUGCUGAAGAGUUGCGCAGUGGUUCUGAAGCUUACUUUCGUAUUACAUGAACAUUUGGUCAACUGCUAUUGGCGAUGGACGUCACGGUUUUAUUUGAAUAGCAUCGAAAAAGAUAAGCGCAUAGUUAAAGAUCGCGUAUGUUAGUAGUCUGCACGUACGACUCCGCGUACACAAGGAAUUCUUACGUAAUGUGGACAAGCGCGGUUAUUUACUGAAUAAUAGUGGCAGCAGGAUUGAAGAAAGUGGGCUUGGAGCGCAUAAAAUCUUUAUAAGUGGUUGGUCCACGACAGUAGUUUAAGAAGGGCGCCAUUUUUGGUGCGAGA